AUGACGUUUAACCUUCCUGAUCGUACGGCUGAGGGCAUCGCGUACAUAAUGUAGGAUAAGAGGUAUUGUACGUUAACCGGCCUCUAUAUAUAUAUAUAUAUAUAUAUAUAUAUAUAUAUAUAUAUAUAUAGAGGAAGGUUAACGUACAUUACGGCUUAACGUACAUCACGUACGACAGGUAAUUACGCACGUUCAUUUUAAAAUCACGCACGUUGUAACUCAAAAAUCCAAAAUCACGCAUGUUGAAACACAUUAAUUACGCAUAUUGAAAACAUUAAUCACGCAUGUUAUAUAACAAAUCACGCACGUUGUUGUACGUGAAGUACGUUAAGCCGUAAUGUACGAUAUACUUUUUCUAUAUAUAUAUAUAUAUAGGGGAAGGAUAAAUCGAAAACCCACUUGAGUUGAGUAAACUCAGAAAACCUUUGUAAAAAAACCAUGUAAACUUAAGAAACAUUUCUAAAAAAAAUAGGAAAUGUAAUAUACAUAUAUUUGAACGUUU
rnacentral:lncRNA from 1 species